rnacentral:rRNA from 1 species
CCAGACUCCUACGGGAGGCAGCAGUGGGGAAUAUUGCACAAUGGGCGAAAGCCUGAUGCAGCAACGCCGCGUGAAGGAAGACGGUUUUCGGAUUGUAAACUUCUGUUCUUAGUGAAGAAUAAUGACGGUAACUAAGGAGCAAGCCACGGCUAACUCCGUGCCAGCAGCCGCGGUAAUACGGAGGAUGCGAGCGUUAUCCGGAUUUAUUGGGUUUAAAGGGUGCGUAGGCGGAAGGUUAAGUCAGCGGUCAAAUGUCGGUGCUCAACACCGGCCUGCCGUUGAAACUGGUCUUCUUGAGUGAGCGAGAAGUAUGCGGAAUGCGCGGUGUAGCGGUGAAAUGCAUAGAUAUCGCGCAGAACCCCGAUUGCGAAGGCAGCGUACCGGCUCCACACUGACGCUGAGGCACGAAAGCGUGGGUAUCGAACAGGAUUAGAUACCCCGGUACA